GACGAACGCUGGCGGCGUGCCUAACACAUGCAAGUCGAGCGAUGAAACCCUUCGGGGUGGAUUAGCGGCGGACGGGUGAGUAACACGUGGGUAACCUGCCUCAAAGAGGGGAAUAGCCUCCCGAAAGGGAGAUUAAUACCGCAUAAUAUGUUUUGAUCGCAUGAUUGAGACAUCAAAGGAUUUUCUUCGGAACUUCCACUUUGAGAUGGACCCGCGGCGCAUUAGCUAGUUGGUGAGGUAACGGCCCACCAAGGCAACGAUGCGUAGCCGACCUGAGAGGGUGAUCGGCCACAUUGGAACUGAGACACGGUCCAGACUCCUACGGGUGCAG
rnacentral:rRNA from 1 species